rnacentral:hammerhead_ribozyme from 1 species
AUCCAGCUGAAGAGUUCGGAAUAAGACUAAACGCGUGUCCUGGAU